UGGCGUUUGGGCUUCAUGUGCCGACGACCACAAUCUUCUUAUGCUGGAACCCUAAUCAGCCUCUACGCUCUCCUUCGAUCCAGCAUCUGUAACGGUUCUUCGAUAAUUAAUGGUCUUAAAUCGUCUUUAAUCACCAUCCCACUACGAAGCUCCCUCUCCUGCGCUGUUCGCCGUCUUUGCCACCAUUGACUUUUAGGGUUCUUUCUGUUCUUCGAGCUCUGAGUAGAUAAACCGACAUUAGAGUUUGGAAGGGUUAUGUGAGACAAAUCGUUAUGACGAAUCUCUAGAUCAAGCUGUCAGACGCGUCGUUUCUUCCGAAUCAAUCUAGAUCUGAAACUCUCAAGCGUCUCCUCACAGUUACCAUCACGUAUCUCCUCUUGGGUUAUAUGCUUAGAUGGGUUCUUCUCUUGCAGAUUUUGAAGGCUUUAAGAUCACAUGAGAGCCUGAGGUUGUGAUUGCACCAAGUUAGCAGCUUUACAUGAUCGAUGUAUCUGUUCUUUAAACAUGGGAGAUUGUGUCAUCGGAGCUUUCAUCAGUAUUCUUGAAAGCGUUGCUAUUAAUUUUGGAACAAACCUUCUCAAAUUGAGACAUAAUAAGAGAAAGAAGUUAGCUUUACAUGCAAGAUAAUGGUCGAGAAAAGACGUCAUUGAAGCCUCUUAUACAGUUCAGACAUGGAUAGUUGAUGCAACUGUUGAUCAAUAGAAAAUGCCAGAAAAAAAUGAAAAU